rnacentral:rRNA from 1 species
ACACAUGCAGUCGAGCGGUAGCACAGAGAGCUUGCUCUCGGGUGACGAGCGGCGGACGGGUGAGUAAUGUCUGGGAAACUGCCUGAUGGAGGGGGAUAACUACUGGAAACGGUAGCUAAUACCGCAUAACGUCGCAAGACCAAAGUGGGGGACCUUCGGGCCUCAUGCCAUCAGAUGUGCCCAGAUGGGAUUAGCUAGUAGGUGGGGUAACGGCUCACCUAGGCGACGAUCCCUAGCUGGUCUGAGAGGAUGACCAGCCACACUGGAACUGAGACACGGUCCAGACUCCUACGGGAGGCAGCAGUGGGGAAUAUUGCACAAUGGGCGCAAGCCUGAUGCAGCCAUGCCGCGUGUGUGAAGAAGGCCUUCGGGUUGUAAAGCACUUUCAGCGGGGAGGAAGGCGGUGAGGUUAAUAACCUUGUCGAUUGACGUUACCCGCAGAAGAAGCACCGGCUAACUCCGUGCCAGCAGCCGCGGUAAUACGGAGGGUGCAAGCGUUAAUCGGAAUUACUGGGCGUAAAGCGCACGCAGGCGGUCUGUCAAGUCGGAUGUGAAAUCCCCGGGCUCAACCUGGGAACUGCAUUCGAAACUGGCAGGCUAGAGUCUUGUAGAGGGGGGUAGAAUUCCAGGUGUAGCGGUGAAAUGCGUAGAGAUCUGGAGGAAUACCGGUGGCGAAGGCGGCCCCCUGGACAAAGACUGACGCUCAGGUGCGAAAGCGUGGGGAGCAAACAGGAUUAGAUACCCUGGUAGUCCACGCCGUAAACGAUGUCGAUUUGGAGGUUGUGCCCUUGAGGCGUGGCUUCCGGAGCUAACGCGUUAAAUCGACCGCCUGGGGAGUACGGCCGCAAGGUUAAAACUCAAAUGAAUUGACGGGGGCCCGCACAAGCGGUGGAGCAUGUGGUUUAAUUCGAUGCAACGCGAAGAACCUUACCUGGUCUUGACAUCCACAGAACUUUCCAGAGAUGGAUUGGUGCCUUCGGGAACUGUGAGACAGGUGCUGCAUGGCUGUCGUCAGCUCGUGUUGUGAAAUGUUGGGUUAAGUCCCGCAACGAGCGCAACCCUUAUCCUUUGUUGCCAGCGGUUCGGCCGGGAACUCAAAGGAGACUGCCAGUGAUAAACUGGAGGAAGGUGGGGAUGACGUCAAGUCAUCAUGGCCCUUACGACCAGGGCUACACACGUGCUACAAUGGCAUAUACAAAGAGAAGCGACCUCGCGAGAGCAAGCGGACCUCAUAAAGUAUGUCGUAGUCCGGAUUGGAGUCUGCAACUCGACUCCAUGAAGUCGGAAUCGCUAGUAAUCGUAGAUCAGAAUGCUACGGUGAAUACGUUCCCGGGCCUUGUACACACCGCCCGUCACACCAUGGGAGUGGGUUGCAAAAGAAGUAGGUAGCUUAACCUUCGGGAGGGCGCUACCACUU